ensembl:lncRNA
GUUGUUCUUCACCGUACAGUAGUUGUGUAAGGGCUGUUGCUGUCUCAUGCUACUGGAUGUUGUACCUGUAGGUGAUCGGAUCAGAUAUGGACAGAGGCUGCCGUAUUGAUCGAUUCACUCGUGUGUCAUUGAGUCUGCUGUGAGACGGGAAACCCUGCAGUCAGAGAAAUGAGCCUCUGAACACCAACUGCUGCGAUUCUGCUUUCCAUUCACUGCUGUCUGUAUACAUCGCCAAGCUACGGGACAUGUUACACUCGAGAAGAGAUGAUGCCGACCCCUCCGAGGACCCCAGAUGAUGCCAACCCUGAAACAACAUGCAAAACUAUCAAAUUUUCCUGUAAGUUUGAUCACAACAUAUAAUCAUUGGUGUUAAUUGUGUUCACUCUUUGUUUGAAUACACGUCAUUAACUAACUGCAUGAUUUUUACUGUGCAUUUCUGGCAUAUGGGCAUCAGCUUGACAUAGCCACCAAUGAUAAGCUAUUACUAAAUGUAAUGUAGAAACUUUCGUUUUCUGUGAAGCUGCUUUACAACGAUUUGUAUCAUAAAAAGUGCUAUACCUGUUUUUGAAGGCUGGUCCUUCUAAUUAGUUUACUAAUUUGACUAGAUUUUACCAGCUGACAGAUGAAUAGAGUUUCUCUGGACACACAACAUUUAACAUCAUCAACAACAACAAAAUACGGGUCGUAAACUCACUGUGGGAGCAUCUGCACACGGAACGAGACGUGAUGGUCUAAUCUGAAACCCUAACACAGAAGUCUCAGGUGAUGCUUAAAACAAGAUCUCCAGUGACCUCUUGAGAUUUUCCAGUGAUUUCAUCACUAAUCUCUCGCACAAGGCUCUCCCACAAAGUGAUUUUGACCGAUCAAUUUAAUGCAGCAUUGGGAAGCACUCUACGCUUUUAAAAACAAAGGGUCUUUAUUGAUAUUGAUGGUUCCUUUCCAUUGCACAAGCGGUUCUUUAUGAUCUUCACACUGCACUCUUUCUAAACAGGUGUUUUAACAUUGAUGCCAUGAAAGAACCAUUUUCAGUUCCCCAAAGAACAGAACCAAUUUUUUCUUAGUUUGAAGAACAUUUAAAAAAUCUAAAGAACCUUUUCUCACUUCGAAGAACCUUUUUGACAUCAGUGGAAUCUUUGAAUUCCAACAAUUGCCAAACAUUUGACGGCAGCCAUUGACAUUGAGCCAUUGAAGUAUGGAAAAAAUACAAUGGAAGUCAAUGGCUACUGUCAACUGUUUGAUUUCAUUUUUGGGUGAGCUCCCAUUUUAAAACACACAAAAAAAUAAAGGAUUGCACUGAUAUUGUUCAUCAGGAUACCUCUUCUCUUGUCACUGAAAAUGUCUGGAUUUUUAAGUCUUCUUGCAGACUCUCAUUUUAAAUGGUGUUUAGUUAUCUACAGCACUUUAAAAACAUACGUAACUGGAAACUAGCAAGCUAUACUAUUUGUAAACAAAAAUGUGUCACGAAAUUCAGUGCAAGUCCAUGAAAGGUUCUUUUGGGAACCAAAAUGAUUCUCCCAAGGCACUGCUGUGAAAACCUCCUUUCAGAACCUGUUUUUAAGAGUUUGGUUAAACCCUCAAGCCUUUAUUUUAUAUUAAACUGCAGGAUGUCCUUUAAGCAGAAUAAAGUGGACCUGAAGCGUUUCGAGUUCAUCAGAUAGAACUGCUCUCAAACUCCUGAAACAAACAGAGUGUGAAAACAGCCAAACGCUCGUCACAAGUCAUUGAGUUUUUCUUGCUCUGGAAAAUGUCUUUGCCCUGGACUGAACCGAGGCGUGUCGUCCCCACGGUGCUGCGGCUCAACACUUUCCCGUAUCUGCUGCUAGCAACAUCCGGGUCAUGGCUUUGAUUCCAGGGAAUGCAUGAACCAGUCAACCUCGAACGCAAUGUAAAGAUGAAAGCAUCUGAUAAUGCAUACGCGAGAAGGCGUUCCUUUACCGUUGUCCAGGAUGCAUUAGCGUUGACAUUACAAAUGUGAUGUGCUCGCAUGUGUUUCUGACUAAUUAUUGCACCCACUAAUUUACUCCACCGUUUAUUUGCAUGCUGUCUUUGUUGUUUAGUGCUCGAUUCGCUGAAUGAAUUUCGCAGAUCAGGUACUGACACAACAGACGCCCACAAAAUUAGUGCUGAUCACUGUUUGCACACUGAACACAGUUUUCUCUUUAUUCCUGUUUA